rnacentral:rRNA from 1 species
AAUCAACGCUGGCGGCGUGCCUAACACAUGCAAGUCGAACGCGAAAAGGGCUUCGGCUCUUAGUAGAGUGCGAACGGGUGAGUAACACGUGGGUGACCUACCUUUGAAUGGGGGAUAACGUCCCGAAAGGGACGCUAAUACCGCAUAACAUCCUGCCUUUGAACAGGUGGAGAUCAAAGCCGGGGAUCGCAAGACCUGGCGUUUGGAGAGGGGCCCGCGUCUGAUUAGCUAGUUGGUGAGGAACGGCCCACCAAGGCGACGAUCAGUAUCCGGCCUGAGAGGGCGGACGGACACACUGGGACUGAGACACGGCCCAGACUCCUACGGGAGGCAGCAGUGGGGAAUUGUUCGCAAUGGGCGCAAGCCUGACGACGCAACGCCGCGUGGAGGAUGAAGGUCUUCGGAUU